GCUGAAGAACGUAGCGAAAUGCGAUAAGUAGUGUGAAUUGCAGAAUUCAGUGAAUCAUCGAAUCUUUGAACGCACAUUGCGCCCCUUGGUAUUCCAUGGGGCAUGCCUGUUCGAGCGUCAUUUGUACCUUCAAGCUUUGCUUGGUGUUGGGUGUUUGUCUCGCCUUUGCGUGUAGACUCGCCUUAAAAUAAUUGGCAGCCGGCGUAUUGAUUUCGGAGCGCAGUACAUCUCGCGCUUUGCACUCAUAACGACAGCGUCCAAAAGUACAUUUUACACUCUUGACCUCGGAUCAGGUAGGGAUACCCGCUGAACUUAAGCAUAUCAAUAAGCGGAGGA
rnacentral:misc_RNA from 1 species